rnacentral:ncRNA from 16 species
AUCUUAUCAAGAGUGGUUGAGGGACUGGCCCUAUGAAACCCGGCAACAACUAAUUUUCAUUUAAAUUAGUAAUGUGCUAAUUCCAGCAGGAAAUUUUCCUGAAAGAUAAGAG